UUCCAUCCCUGGUCAGGU
rnacentral:misc_RNA from 1 species